UAAUUAUAGGAUCUGCUGAGAUUCUGGCGC
rnacentral:piRNA from 1 species